UACGAAGGGGGCUAGCGUUGUUCGGAAUCACUGGGCGUAAAGGGCGCGUAGGCGGCUUGAUAAGUCAGGGGUGAAAUCCUGGAGCUCAACUCCAGAACUGCCUUUGAUACUGGAGAGCUUGAGUCCGGAAGAGGUGAGUGGAACUCCGAGUGUAGAGGUGAAAUUCGUAGAUAUUCGGAAGAACACCAGUGGCGAAGGCGGCUCACUGGUCCGGUACUGACGCUGAGGUGCGAAAGCGUGGGGAGCAAACAGG
rnacentral:rRNA from 1 species